rnacentral:rRNA from 1 species
CCUACGGGGGGCAGCAGUGAGGAAUAUUGGUCAAUGGCCGGAAGGCUGAACCAGCCAUGCCGCGUGAAGGUCAGUGCCCUAUGGGCGUUAAACUUCUUUUGUGCGGGAGCAAUAAUGGUCACGUGUGGCCAGACGAGAGUACCGUACGCAUAAGCAUCGGCUAACUCCGUGCCAGCAGCCGCGGUAAUACGGGGGAUGUAAGCGUUAUCCGGAGUGAUUUGGUUUAAAGGGUGCGUAGGCUGUGAGGUAAGUCAGCGGUGAAAUGCCCCCGCUCAACGGGGUGAAGUGCCAUUGAUACUGGCUGGCUGGAAUGCGGAUGCCGGGGGAGGAAUGUGUGGUGUAGCGGUGAAAUGCAUAGAUAUCACGCAGAACACCGAUUGCGAAGGCAUCUCACGAAUCCGCGAUUGACGCUGAUGCACGAAAGCGUGGGUAUCAAACAGGAUUAGAUACCCCAGUAGUC